AGCGAACGCUGGCGGCAUGCCUAACACAUGCAAGUCGAACGAGACCUUCGGGUCUAGUGGCGCACGGGUGCGUAACGCGUGGGAACCUGCCCUUAGGUUCGGAAUAACUCCCCGAAAGGGGUGCUAAUACCGGAUAAUGUCUUCGGACCAAAGAUUUAUCGCCUUUGGAUGGGCCCGCGUUGGAUUAGCUAGUUGGUAGGGUAAAAGCCUACCAAGGCGACGAUCCAUAGCUGGUCUGAGAGGAUGAUCAGCCACACUGGGACUGAGACACGGCCCAGACUCCUACGGGAGGCAGCAGUGGGGAAUAUUGGACAAUGGGCGAAAGCCUGAUCCAGCAAUGCCGCGUGAGUGAUGAAGGCCUUAGGGUUAUAAAGCUCUUUUACCCGGGAUGAUAAUGACAGUACCGGGAGAAUAAGCUCCGGCUAACUCCGUG
rnacentral:rRNA from 1 species